AAGCGCCGCCUUGCGAAGAACAUCAGACAAUUCUCUGAGUGUUACUUUCUGCCUCAAUGAUCUUUGCCUUCUGUACUGGCAAUCUAUGGUGUUGUUUGUGCCACUGGAGUUGGUGCAGGUAUGUUGCUUGAGGUUUGGAUAAACCGAAAGAUAAAAGGUACAAUCCUGUCUUUCAUGGCCCGUCCUGGAGGAAUCACUCACCUUAAAAAGACUACUCUAUCCGGAGAUCCGAGAUCUUGGACUCUACCAUGGAAAUCAUCAAAUGCAUUUGCAUAUAUGUUUUCCUUCCUCAAUUGUAUUUUCUUGCAUCCUCUUACCUUUUUGUUAAAUUGCUGCACGUAG
rnacentral:rRNA from 1 species